UAAUGGGUCUUGCCACUUUACCAUGGCA
rnacentral:piRNA from 1 species